CCUACGGGUGGCAGCAGUGGGGAAUAUUGCACAAUGGGGGAAACCCUGAUGCAGCGACGCCGCGUGAGUGAAGAAGUAAUUCGUUACGUAAAGCUCUAUCAGCAGGGAAGAAACACUGACCUUACGGUCAGCAGACGGUACCUGAGUAAGAAGCCCCGGCUAACUACGUGCCAGCAGCCGCGGUAAUACGUAGGGGGCAAGCGUUAUCCGGAUGUACUGGGUGGAAAGGGAGCGGAGACGGUGCGCCAAGUCUGGAGUGAAAUGCCGCAGCUUAACUGCGGAACUGCUUUGGAAACUGGCGAACUAGAGUGCGGGAGGGGUAAGCGGAAUUCCUAGUGUAGCGGUGAAAUGCGUAGAUAUUAGGAGGAACACCGGUGGCGAGGGCGGCUUACUGGACCGUAACUGACGUUGAGGCUCGAAAGCGUGGGGAGCAAACAGGAUUAGAUACCCGGGUAGUC
rnacentral:rRNA from 1 species